AGUGAACGCUGGCGGCGUGCCUAACACAUGCAAGUCGAACGAUGAUAGAGAGCUUGCUCUCCUGAUUAGUGGCGCACGGGUGAGUAUACCAUAGAUAAUGUACCUCUUAGUUCGGGAUAGCCACUGGAAACGGUGCUUAAUACCGGAUACUCCUUCUUGUCUUAAGGCAAGUCGGGAAAGUUUUUUCGCUAAGAGAUCAGUCUAUGUCCUAUCAGCUAGUUGGUGAGGUAAUGGCUCACCAAGGCAAUGAAGGGUAUCUGGUUUGAGCGGAUGAUCAGACACACUGGAACUGGGACACGGUCCAGACUCCUACGGGAGGCAGCAGUGAGGAAUAUUGCACAAUGGAGGAAACUCUGAUGCAGCAACGCCGCGUGGAGGAUGACGCAUUUCGGUGUGUAAACUCCUUUUAAGAGGGAAGAUAGUGACGGUACCUCUUGAAUAAGCACCGGCUAACUCCGUGCCAGCAGCCGCGGUAA
rnacentral:rRNA from 1 species